AUGUCACAUUCCGUAAAAAUUUACGAUACAUGUAUAGGAUGCACUCAAUGUGUACGAGCUUGUCCAACAGAUGUAUUAGAAAUGAUACUCUGGGAUGGAUGUAAAGCCAAGAAAAUUGCUUCCACGCCGAGAACCGAAGAUUGUGUGGGUUGUAAGAGAUGUGAAUCUGCCUUGCUUGCUUUUUCAUUGACUGAUUCUAGUGGCUGGCCCAGUGAGAGAAUUACCAGUGUCUGUCAUUAG
rnacentral:rRNA from 1 species